AAUCACGUUGAACCACCGGUUCUCGUACGAUCACCAAAGUUAAGCAACGUUGAGCCUGAUCAUUACCUAGAUGGAUUACCGCUUGGGAAUACCUGUUGUUGCAAA